GGAAAUUCUAAAGGUUUAGAAACCCUUGUUCCCCGCGUAACUACUCCACCCAAGGCAAGUCUCAAGCUGUCCAACUUGAUGUCACUGAGUUCACCUGGAACCCAGAUGAAAUAUCAGGAGGAAAGGGAAGGGAGGAUCUGUAAUUGAAAAUAAAAGAGUGAAUUAUGAAAACUGAUUAAGCCAAACCCAUCGUAUUCAUAUAUUCAUGUGUAAUAUUUAAGAAACCACUGCCUAAUCCAAGGUCAUGAAGAUUAACAUCUAUGUUAUUAAAAUGAAGUUCUGAAGAAGCUGGAUUUAUGUGGCUAUGAACUCUACUUUUGCAUUCAGACAGGCAGGGGAUGCCUCAUCCUUUGAAUACUGGCACAUUAAGAGCAGUGACAUAGGUAAGAACUGAACCCAAGCACUAUAAGAGAGGAUGUUAAGCAAGAUCUAAAAAUCAACGUGAUCAACAAGAGCAGUAAUCUUUUCUUUUCCAAGAAAAAAGAAUGGAAGAAACAGAAGGUACUGGGCGCAAUGUAUUAAACACUGUGUUUUGAAUGACUCGAGAUUCUACGACUGCCUGGAGGGGUUUUGCUGGAUCGGUGCAAUGUCAUGUGAUUAUUGGAAAUUAAUCCCUUUUUUCAAGAAUUUUUCAAGAAUUAGGUUAAGUUAGAUUUGAGCAAACUUAAUUACCUUGCCAGGCAUUUGUUUUUCAGAAACAUAAUAAUCUAUGUAUUUGAUUCAAUUAGUAGUAGGCCCAUGGGUUGUUCUGUAAAUCACAAGUAUGAAAUACAGACUCUAAAAUUCAUUUAUUGAGCAAUUACCAUCUUCUGGGCAAUGACCUUGUGAGAGGAAUACCAUUAUGCCUAUUUUACUAAUAUGAGAAAUAAACCAAAAAGAGGUUAAGUAACCUGUCCAAAGAAAUACACCAAGAAGUGGGGGAGCUGAUUUGUACCCACAAAUGGUUCUUCAUUAAUUCUCUUUCAGCUGGGAAAGAUAAUUUCAAAUGUUAGCAUAUGUCCUGAUUUUAUCUUGUGUACAUCAUAUUAAAACCCAGAAGGACUGGUUGGCCAAUCGACAUCAUCCUUCAAACUUUUCUCCCUCUCUCCCUUCACUCAAUCUAGUCAACAAUUAGAAGACAGAAUCGAAGUGUGAUUUGUUGAUACCCAAAAAAGACUAUGAUGACUGAAGGAAAUGUAGAGUACUCUAGAUCACAAAAAAUAAUUCCUGCAUGGUGAUGGUGAGGGUUCAGUUCUCGUUCUCCCCAUCACAAUUCUAUGUAUAUAUGCCAUGAGGACAAACACUUGCAAAUAUAGGCAAACUGCUGAUUGUGGGAGGGUGGGGCAGAGUGCAGAAUGAAUCAGCUAUUAAGAUAAAUCAUCUAUUCAACUGUUAACCCCAGGCAAGCACAAAACCCACAGAAUAUUAUGAAAGAAUAUUCUCAAGCACUAGGUGUUUUUAGGAAUUCUAGAAACAAAGACUGAGAUAGCACUUGUUACAGACUAUUUUUUUUAGAGCAGUUUUAGGUUCACAGCAAAACUGAAAGGUACAUAGAUGGCUGGGGGCAGUGGCUCACACCUGUAAUCCCAGCACUUUGGGAGGUAGAGGCGGGCACAUCACUUGAGGCCAGGAGUUCGAGACCAGCUUGGCCAACAUGGCAAAACUCCCUCUCUACUAAAAACACAAAAAUUCGGCGGGCGAUAGUGGCAUGUGCCUGUAAUCCCAGCUACUCGGGAGGCUGAGGCAGGAGAAUUGCUUGAACCCAGGGAGGGGGAGGUUACAGUGAGCCGAGAUCGCACCACUGCACCCCAGCCUGGAUGAUACAGAGAUUUCCCAUAUACCCACUACCCCAUUCAGGAACAGCCUCCCCUACUACCAACAUCCCCCAUUGGAGUGGUACGUUUGUUACAAUCAAUGAACUUGUACUGACAUAUCAUUAUCACCCAAAUAUUAUUAAACAAUCUCUCCUUUUCUUACUUUUUUUGUGGUUAUUAGAAAAUUUAAAAUUACACAUAUGUGGCUUGCAUUAUAUUUAUCCUGGACAAUGUUGCUCUAGAAUCAACCUGCCUGGGUGUUAAAUCCUCCACAAACCUGAGGUAUGACCUUAAACAGUUAACAUAACCAUGUCUCAGUUUCCUUAUCUGCACAAUGGGCUUAAAGACAAUACUUUAAAGCAGCGGUCCCCAACCUUUUUGGCACCAGGGAUCACAUUUCUUGGAAGACAAUUUUUCCUCGGAACAGGAGUGGGGGUGGGUAGAUGGUUUCGGGAUGAAAUUGUUCCAUCUCAGAUUCUCAUUAAGGAGUGCCCAACGUAGAUCCCUCGCAUGCGCAGUUCACAAUAGGGUUCCUGUUCCCGCUCCUAUGAGAAUCUAAUGCCACCACUGAUCUGAGAUGGGACAGAGCUCUGUUGGUAAUGCUCCUGCGCCAUGCUCACCUCCUGCUGUGCAGCCCACUUCCCUUCUGUGGCCCAGUGGUUGGGGACCCCUGCUUUAAAGGAUUAAGAGCAUUUCUUAGACAUACUGAUGUUGGCAUGUGCCAAUGUUCAGUAAUAAUAGCAAGGGUACCAGCAAAAUGAUCAAAGAGUGAGCCUAUUCCGAGACAGAACAGAACUGGAAGUGGGAUAUAGUUGAAAAAUGGAAGGAUCACUAGAGCAGUUUAUUAAAACACACACAAACAAAAACAAUACAAAGCAAGCAGAUAGCUAGUUAGUGUUUAAAGUUACAUUUUCCAGGGUCAUAAAAGCAUCAUUCCUAUAUCAGUUGUUACAGAGGAAAUCUGGAGGAAAUAGUGGCAGAUUGCAGGUAUGCUGACCAUUGACUGAAAAUAAAAAUAAAUACAUCUACAAAGCAAGGACAAUGAUACAUCUGUGGUUGUUAACUGGAGUCUUAGGCUUUCAUCCCCCAGCUUUGCUGAGGAUGCAGAAACUGAGUUAAGCCAACAUCAGAGGCAGAGCACCGAGCAACAAAAUCUGACUUUAAACAGAUUGUUGCCAGUGAUUUUCUCAAACCAUAAGUAAAACACAGAAUCUAUAGUUUGCCCAUUUUUUGUUUUGAGGCAAAAAGUUUUAAUUUUAUACCCAUAAGGUUGUGAGAAUUAAAUAAAAUAUCACAUCUAUUAUAUUUACAUGCAUUAAUAAUAGCUUAUUGGGAAUAUUAUUAUGGGAAAGUCAUGAGGAUAAAAAAGUUAUAGUUUAGUUUCACCAUGUUUAAAAUCAUAAUAAUACGGCUGGGCGUGGUGGCUCAUGCUUGUAAUCCCAGAACUUUGGGAAGGCCAAGGCGGGUGGAUCACGAGGUCAGGAGAUCGAGACCAGCCUGGCCAACAUGAUGAAACUCCGUCUGUACUAAAAAUACAAAAAAAUUAGCUGGGCAUGGUGGUGCGCACCUGUAGUCCCAGCUACUCGGGAAGCUGAGGCAGGAGAAUCUCUUGAACCUAGGAGGCAAAGGUUGCAGUGACCCAAGAUUGUGCCACUGCACUCCCGCCUGGCAACAGAGUAAGACUCCAUCUCAAAAUAAAAAUAAAAAAAAUAAUAAUAAUAAUUGUGAAUUACAUCAAAAUUGGAAUUAUUAAAAUACAAUCAGAUUCAGACAUUAAUUUUUUCUUAGAGUCAGGGUCCCAUUCUGUCACCCAGGCUGGAGUGAAGUGGCAUGCUCAUGGCUCACUGCAGCCUUGAACUCCUGGGCUCAAGUGAUUCUCACAUCUCAGUCUCCUGAGUAGCUGGGACUACAGGCAUGUGCCAUCACUCCUGACUAAGUUUUUCUAUUUUUAGUAGAGACAGGGUCUCACUUUGUUGGCCAGGCUGGUCUCAAACUCCUGGCCUGAAGUGAUCCUUCUGUCUUAGCCUCCCAAAGUGCUGGGAUUCCAGGAGUAAGCCACCACACCCAACCUCAGAAAGAGUAAUUUUAAGAAAAAAAUUAAUGUAGAAAUCACUGUUGAUUUAAAAUAUGGAGCAUUUCAAGAUUGGAGAGUCAUAAACUAAUUUGGAACUAUUUAAUACUUUUUACAUUUGCUAGUAGCAGUGACAGCAGAAAAUACAUUUCCAAGUGG
rnacentral:lncRNA from 1 species